UUGUUAUAUGAAAGAAGAAAUUAACACAUCUCUUGAUAAGGAGGGAAGAAGUUCUAGUGAAUUUUGCUACACAUACAUGGUUACGGUAUUGGCACCUACUCUGUGGAAUCAAGUUGGGUAUUUUG
ensembl:snRNA